rnacentral:lncRNA from 1 species
GAAAUUUAAAUAUACAAAUCUUUAUGAUACACCUUGAGGCUUGUUAUUUGGUUAAUAUAUCUUAUGCAUAAAUCAUGAACCAAAUUGCAAUUCAAACAGUUGAUCUUAAGAGCCUCUAACUUAAUGAAAAAGGGGGAGAAUAAUGUGUUGAAUUUUCUUGAGUAUCUCUCAGAAAAUCUAUUUUGGAAUUCACUAAUGAGUUCUUAUUGGCUUGUUCUUUAGAACUUCAAUUUAGUGCCAAUUCAUUAUUAUAUGUACCAAAAUGUGCUUCUUUUUAAAGGA